rnacentral:rRNA from 1 species
GGUUAACGCUGGCGGCGUGCCUAACACAUGCAAGUCGAACGGUUCUAAGCGCGAGCUUAGGAUAGUGGCGAACGGGUGAGUAAAAGGUAGGAAUCUACCCCUUGGACGGAGAUAGCUACUGGAAACGGUAGGUAAACUUCGAUAAGCCCGAGAGGGGAAAGUGGUGAGACAGCCGAGGGAUGAGCCUACUCUCCAUCAGGUAGUUGGUGAGAUAAAAGCUUACCAAGCCGAUGACGGAUAACCGGUGUGAGAGCAUGAACGGUCACAAGGGCACUGAGAGACGGGCCCUACUCCUACGGGAGGCAGCAGUGGGGAAUCUUGGACAAUGGGCGAAAGCCUGAUCCAGCGACGCCGCGUGGAGGAAGAAGUCCUUCGGGAUGUAAACUUCUGAACUAGCCGAAUAAAAGGCCUGUGGACACACAGGAGAAGAAAGUAGGCUAGGAAAAGUCCCGGCUAACUACGUGCCAGCAGCCGCGGUAAGACGUAGGGGGCAAGCGUUACCCGGAAUUACUGGGCGUAAAGGGGGCGUAGGCGGUAAAAGAAGUCAUCUGUGAAAACCUAUUGCUCAACGAUAGGCUAGCGGAUGAAACUGAAUUACUUGAGGGCACCAGAGGUAGACGGAAUUACCCGAGUAGGGGUGAAAUCCGCAGAUACGGGUAGGAACGCCGGUGGAGAAGUCGGUCUACUGGGGUGCACCAGACGCUGAGGCCCGAAAGCUAGGGGAGCAAACCGGAUUAGAUACCCGGGUAGUCCUAGCCGUAAACGAUGCUCACUAGGUGUAGGGAGUGAUAAACUCUCUGUGCUGAAGCGAACGCGCUAAGUGAGCCGCCUGGGGAGUACGUCCGCAAGGAUG